AUCCUCUUCAAAAAAACAGCAGGUAAACCCUAUCAGCAUACAAAGGAAACCCCCUAAAACUGCCUACUAAAGAGAGCUAGAAGUAACCCUAACUAGCCAUUAAAGUCAUGAGAAAAAUAAACACCAAACCAUCAGAAUCAACAGUCUCUUGAGAAAUAUUUGAGCCUCCCUGCAGGUGCAGAAAAAAAGAAAACAAAAAUAUAACACCACCACCCAAGAAUUAAUCUUUAAACAACUUAUCAUGUAUAAUUUCUUAAUCAUGAUUAAAUAAUUGUUACAAAUUAAUUAAAGAAUCACUACCUUUAUAAUGGAAGAGGAAAUGUGAUCAGAUUUGCAAUCUUGUAGACAAAAAAGCAAUCUAGGGUCGCAAACAUUAUUUUA
rnacentral:lncRNA from 1 species